CGUUUUCCACUUCACCAUUUCGCUUGCCGCUCGACUACGUUAAAACAACAUUUCCAGUUCACCUUUUAUACAAUAGUACUCUGAUUUUCCAUUUAACAUACAAGCCUGUAUUCUUGGGCUAGGGUACAUUUUGAUUUACGUUGGACAAAGCUACAGUUCGGUCCGACACUAUACACAAAUACACUCGGGUCGGGCAAACAAUAAACCUCAGUUUCACUUAGGUCGGACAGAAUGUCCGGUGGUUUCCUCCCUACGUCGGACAAUUUCACGAAUGGGUUGGACAAUGUCCGUGACCGACCGAUAUUUUAAGGCCUGAAAUUGAACGGCAGAAGUAUUUACAACCUCCAGCUUCGUCCAAACACUUCAGUUACACUUUGCGUUAACGUAUAAGUUGUUACGACAAAUACUC